AUGGGCCUUGGUUGCACCUGGGGGUGCCCCGAGGGGGGCACAACCCAUCAGGGCGCGCCAGGAGGCCCUGGCGCCCUGGUGGGUUGUGCCCACCUCUGGUGCCCCCGGACCGCCUCUUUGCUCUAUAAAUUCUUUUUCUGGCUCCUUCUUCUGGAAAGAUUAAACACCAGAGAUCUUCUCACCAGGAAAAGCUUCUACAUUGAGAGUUCCAUCUAUGUGUUAUGUGAUGAUGAGCCCAAUGAAUACAUGAAACAUCUAUUUUUCUCAUGUGUUUUCAGCCAAAACUUUUGGUUAUCAAUUGGUUUUGAAUGGAACACUGAUUUGAGCUGCAAUGAUAUGCUUAUUGAAGCCAGAAACAGAACUCAGAUUCAGCCCUUUAAAGAAUGCCUAAUUGCUGGUUGUUGGACCAUCUGGAAACACAGAAACAACAUCAUCUUUGACAACAAAGAAAGGGAUUGGAGCUACUGUAUUUCCUGUUUCAAGGAUCACUUUGGCACCAUCAUGAAAAGAGUCAGACCUAGUUUAAAGGAGGGAAUGCAAAGCUGGUUGGAUUAUUUGUAA
rnacentral:rRNA from 1 species